rnacentral:rRNA from 1 species
AGAGUUUGAUCCUGGCUCAGGAUGAACGCUGGCGGCGUGCCUAACACAUGCAAGUCGAGCGAGACUCCGGCAGAAGAGACUUCGGUUAAAUCAGUCGGACGAUAGCGGCGGACGGGUGAGUAACGCGUAGGCAAUCUGCCCCGUACAGAGGGAUAGCCGUUGGAAACGACGAGUAAGACCUCAUGAUGCAGCACUUUCACAUGGGAGAGCUGCCAAAGAUUUAUCGGUAUGGGAUGAGCCUGCGUCUGAUUAGCUGGUUGGUGAGGUAACGGCCCACCAAGGCGACGAUCAGUAGCCGACCUGAGAGGGUGAUCGGCCACAUUGGAACUGAGACACGGUCCAAACUCCUACGGGAGGCAGCAGUGGGGAAUAUUGCACAAUGGAGGGAACUCUGAUGCAGCAACGCCGCGUGAAGGAUGAAGGUUUUCGGAUCGUAAACUUCUGUCCAUGGGGACGAAGAAAGUGACGGUACCCGUGGAGGAAGCCCCGGCUAACUACGUGCCAGCAGCCGCGGUAAUACGUAGGGGGCGAGCGUUAUCCGGAAUUAUUGGGCGUAAAGAGUGCGUAGGUGGCCCACUAAGCGCAGGGUUUAAGGCAAUGGCUUAACUGUUGUUCGCCUUGCGAACUGGAGGGCUUGAGUUCAGGAGAGGAAAGUGGAAUUCCUAGUGUAGCGGUGGAAUGCGUAGAUAUUAGGAGGAACACCGGUGGCGAAGGCGACUUUCUGGACUGAUACUGACACUGAGGCACGAAAGCGUGGGGAGCAAACAGGAUUAGAUACCCUGGUAGUCCACGCCGUAAACGAUGAGCACUAGGUGUCGGGGCCGUAAAGGCUUCGGUGCCGCAGUUAACGCAAUAAGUGCUCCGCCUGGGGAGUAUGCACGCAAGUGUUAAACUCAAAGGAAUUGACGGGGACCCGCACAAGCAGCGGAGCAUGUGGUUUAAUUCGAAGCAACGCGAAGAACCUUACCAGGACUUGACAUCCCCCUGACAGGGCUUUAAAAGGCCCCUUCUUCGGACAGGGGAGACAGGUGGUGCAUGGUUGCCGUCAGCUCGUGUCGUGAGAUGUUGGGUUAAGUCCCGCAACGAGCGCAACCCUUGCCUUUAGUUGCCAUCAUCAAGUUGGGCACUCUAGAGGGACUGCCGGGGACAACUCGGAGGAAGGUGGGGAUGACGUCAAAUCAUCAUGCCCCUUAUGUUCUGGGCUACACACGUGCUACAAUGGCCGGUACAGCAGGAAGCGAAGCCGUGAGGCGGAGCGAACCCCAAAAGCCGGUCCCAGUUCGGACUGCAGGCUGCAACCCGCCUGCACGAAGUCGGGGUUGCUAGUAAUCGCGGAUCAGCACGCCGCGGUGAAUGCGUUCCCGGGUCUUGUACACACCGCCCGUCACACCAUGGAAGUUGGUGGUGCCCGAAGUCGGUCAACAAAUCUACUGCCUAAGGCAAAACCAAUGACUGGGGUGAAGUCGUAACAAGGUAACCGUA